UACGGGGGGGGCAAGCGUUGUUCGGAUUUACUGGGCGUAAAGGGCGCGUAGGCGGCCACCGCAAGUCGGUUGUGAAAUCUCCGGGCUUAACCCGGAAAGGUCAAUCGAUACUGCGGGGCUAGAGUGCAGAAGGGGCAACUGGAAUUCUCGGUGUAGCGGUGAAAUGCGUAGAUAUCGAGAGGAACACCUGCGGCGAAGGCGGGUUGCUGGGCUGACACUGACGCUGACAGCGCGAAAGCUAGGGGAGCGAACGGG
rnacentral:rRNA from 1 species